GAAAAGGCAGUGAAGAGAAGAGUAGCAGGCUGAUGCUUUCACAGAGAGUUCCCGUUUGGUGUGAGGGAAUAAAGACAGGCAUGUGAAGAUGGUCUUAGAGCCGCACGGUCGAAGAUUUUAGACCGCGACGGGAGCGCCCGUUACAGCGACAGAGUAUAAUCCGUUACGGCGGACGUACUUGAUAAGGCCUGGCUGUGUGAGCAGCAGGUGAAAUUAGGUGGUACCACGGGAGCAGUUGCCCUCGUCCUGAUA
rnacentral:ncRNA from 1 species